rnacentral:rRNA from 1 species
AGCAGCCACUCAUUUAAAGAGUGCGUAAUAGCUCACUGGUCGAGCGUCUCUGCGCGGAAAAUUUAACGGGGCUAAGAUACAAACCGAAGCUUAGGCUGCAUCGUAAGAUGCGGGGUAGGGGAGCGUUGUGUAAGCGGAGAAACAGUAGCGUAAGCGGCUGUGGAGUUUACAGAAGUGAGAAUGCCGGAAUGAGUAGCGCGAAUGUGGUGAGAAUCCACAUGGCCGGAAACCUCAGGUUUUUGGAGGAAGGUUCGUCCGCUCCAAGUUAGGCGGGAGCUAAGGUCAGGCCGAAAGGCGUAGCCGAUGCACAGACGGUAGAGAUUCCGUCCCCACCGAAAGAUUUAAGCACAGGGACACUUUUUGAAGGUCGGAGCCAGGUGUUGGUUCUGGUAGUGAUCGAGGGAAAUAUAGUACCGAAGUCCGGCUGGAAGAGAGGCGAGAAAAGCUGUGUGUAUAUCUAAGGUGCCCGUACCGCAAACCGACACAGGUAGGUAGGAAGAAGAUUCUAAGGCCAACGGGAGAAGGGUUGUUAAGGAACUCGGCAAAUUGACCCCGUAACUUCGGGAGAAGGGGUGCUCCAGAGAUGGAGCCGCAGAGAAUCGGCCCAAGCAACUGUUUACCAAAAACACAGGUUUGUGCUAAAUCGAAAGAUGACGUAUACGAGCUGACGCCUGCCCGGUGCUGGAAGGUUAAAAGGAGAUGUGCAAGCAUUGAAUUGAAGCCCCAGUGAACGGCGGCCGUAACUAUAACGGUCCUAAGGUAGCGAAAUUCCUUGUCAGGUAAGUUCUGACCCGCAUGAAAGGCGUAAUGAUCUGGGCACUGUCUCAACAGCCCGCCCGGCGAAAUUGUAGUACCGGUGAAGAUGCCGGUUACCCGCGACAAGACGGAAAGACCCCAUGGAGCUUUACUGUAGCCUAAUAUUGGGUUUCGAUGUUGCAUGCACAGGAUAGAUGGGACACUGGGAAGCAAGUGCUUUGGCAUUUGUGGAGUGGCCGUUGGGAUACCAUCCUUGCGAUAUUGGAAUUCUAACCUGCGGCUCUGAAUCGAGUCGGGGGACAUUGUUAGGUGGGCAGUUUGACUGGGGCGGUCGCCUCCUAAAAAGUAGCGGAGGCGCUCAAAGCUUGGCUCAGCAUGGAUGGAAAUCAUGCAAUGAGUGUAAACGUAUAAGCCAAGUUGACUGCG